rnacentral:ncRNA from 1 species
UUUUUAUGGGGGUGCCCCGCAAGGGAGCUGAGAACAUACCCCUGACAACUUGAUCCGGGUAAUGCCGGCGGAGGGAAUUAAAAAUGA